rnacentral:rRNA from 1 species
AUUGAACGCUGGCGGCAUGCUUUACACAUGCAAGUCGAACGGUAACGCGGGGCAACCUGGCGACGAGUGGCGAACGGGUGAGUAAAGUAUCGGAACGUGCCCAAUAGUGGGGGAUAGCCCGGCGAAAGCCGGAUUAAUACCGCAUGAGACCUGAGGGUGAAAGCGGGGGACUCGCAAGAGCCUCGCGCUGUUGGAGCGGCCGAUAUCAGAUUAGGUAGUUGGUGGGGUAAAGGCCUACCAAGCCGACGAUCUGUAGCUGGUCUGAGAGGACGACCAGCCACACUGGGACUGAGACACGGCCCAGACUCCUACGGGAGGCAGCAGUGGGGAAUUUUGGACAAUGGGCGCAAGCCUGAUCCAGCCAUGCCGCGUGCGGGAAGAAGGCCUCGGUUGUAACCG